rnacentral:SRP_RNA from 1 species
UCUCGGGCUCCGUGCAACGGACGGCUGCAAACCCCGCCAGGUCCGGAAGGGAGCAACGGUAGCGGUGCGGUUCGUGUGCCGCGGAUCACCCGGGGCUU